rnacentral:rRNA from 1 species
GUAAUUCUAGAGCUAAUACAUGCUAAAAACCUCAACUUCGGAAGGGGUGUAUUUAUUAGAUAAAAAACCAGCGCCCUUCGGGGCUCCUUGGUGAUUCAUAAUAACUAAACGAAUCGCAUGGCCUUGCGCCGGCGAUGGUUCAUUCAAAUUUCUGCCCUAUCAACUUUCGAUGGUAGGAUAGUGGCCUACCAUGGUAUCAACGGGUAACGGGGAAUUAGGGUUCUAUUCCGGAGAGGGAGCCUGAGAAACGGCUACCACAUCCAAGGAAGGCAGCAGGCGCGCAAAUUACCCAAUCCCGACACGGGGAGGUAGUGACAAUAAAUACUGAUACAGGGCUCUUUUGGGUCUUGUAAUUGGAAUGAGUACAAUUUAAAUCCCUUAACGAGGAACAAUUGGAGGGCAAGUCUGGUGCCAGCAGCCGCGGUAAUUCCAGCUCCAAUAGCGUAUAUUAAAGUUGUUGCAGUUAAAAAGCUCGUAGUUGAACCUUGGGCCUGGCUGGCCGGUCCGCCUCACCGCGUGUACUGGUCCGGCCGGGCCUUUCCUUCUGGGGAGCCGCAUGCCCUUCACUGGGCGUGUCGGGGAACCAGGACUUUUACUUUGAAAAAAUUAGAGUGUUCAAAGCAGGCCUUUGCUCGAAUACAUUAGCAUGGAAUAAUAGAAUAGGACGUGUGGUUCUAUUUUGUUGGUUUCUAGGACCGCCGUAAUGAUUAAUAGGGAUAGUCGGGGGCGUCAGUAUUCAAUUGUCAGAGGUGAAAUUCUUGGAUUUAUUGAAGACUAACUACUGCGAAAGCAUUCGCCAAGGAUGUUUUCAUUAAUCAGUGAACGAAAGUUAGGGGAUCGAAGACGAUCAGAUACCGUCGUAGUCUUAACC